GACGAACGCUGGCGGCGUGCCUAAUACAUGCCAGUCGAACGAGAGCGACCGGUGCUUGCACUGGUCAAUCUAGUGGCGAACGGGUGAGUAACACGUGGGUAACCUGCCCAUCAGAGGGGGAUAACAUCCGGAAACGGAUGCUAAAACCGCAUAGGUCUUCGAACCGCAUGGUUUGAAGAGGAAAAGAGGCGCAAGCUUCUGCUGAUGGAUGGACCCGCGGUGCAUUAGCUAGUUGGUGAGGUAACGGCUCACCAAGGCCGUGAUGCAUAGCCGACCUGAGAGGGUGAUCGGCCACAUUGGGACUGAGACACGGCCCAAACUCCUACGGGAGGCAGCAGUAGGGAAUCUUCCGCAAUGGACGCAAGUCUGACGGAGCAACGCCGCGUGAGUGAAGAAGGUUUUCGGAUCGUAAAACUCUGUUGUUAGAGAGGAACAAGUGCUAGAGUAACUGUUAGCGCCUUGACGGUAUCUAACCAGAAAGCCACGGCUAACUACGUG
rnacentral:rRNA from 1 species